rnacentral:rRNA from 1 species
UAGGGUAAAAGCCUACCAAGCCGAUGAUCAAAAGCCAUGUUUGAUAGAGCAGAUGGCCACAUUGGGUAUGAAAAGCCCCAAGUAGAAUUUUCUACCAGCAGUCAAGAAUAUUAGUCAAUGCUCGCAAGAGUGAACUAGCUAACUGAAAUCACAGGAUCCACUACGUGUGGUGAAUGUAAUAACGUAAGGGAAAAAAAUGAUAUUACCUUACUAUUAGUGUUGUCCAAAACUGGUGCCAGAAGACUCGGUAAGGCCAGAGACGCAAACGUUAGUCGUCCUAAUCAGGCGUAAAGGGUAUGUAGGCUGCUUUAAAAGUUUUAUAUUUAAUAGCUAAUGUAAAAAAAUAUUAAAUUUUUUUAUAUAAAAAAAUAAAAUGAAUUAAAGCUAGGAUCAAAUUGAGGAUAAUAAAUAACACCUAGUGUAGGGUUUAAAUCUGAUGAUAUUAGGUGGAGUACUAACGGUGAAAGCUUUUUAUCUAGAAAUGAUUGACGCUGAGAAACGAAGGUGAGAAUAGGAAAUAGGAUUAGAUACCCAGAUACCUCUCACAGUCAACGAUGAAUGGUGGUUGUUACUUAGUUUUAUUUAAGUGAUAACGAUGUUAACACGAUAACCAUUCCGCCUUGCGAGUACGGUUGCAAAACUGAAACCAAAAAAAUUAGUCGGUCUCGAAGCAAACGAAGUGAAGCAUGUUAUUUAAUACGAUAAUACGCGUAAAAUCUUACCAGUCCUUGUAUAUCCAAUAUUUCUUAUGUAAAAAUAAUAAAUAUUGAGUAGUUUCUUUUUAAAAAUAGAAAUUCGUUUA